rnacentral:misc_RNA from 1 species
GAUGAAGAACGCAGUGAAAUGCGAUAAGUAGUGUGAAUUGCAGAAUUCAGUGAAUCAUCGAAUCUUUGAACGCACAUUGCGCCCCCUGGUAUUCCGGGGGGCAUGCCUGUUCGAGCGUCAUUUCAACCCUCAAGCUCUGCUUGGUAUUGAGUCCAUGUCAGCAAUGGCAGGCUCCAAAAUCAGUGGCGGCGCCGCUGGGUCCUGAACGUAGUAAUAUCUCUCGUUACAGGUGCUCGGCGUGCUUCUGCCAAAACCCCAAUUUUUCUAUGGUUGACCUCGGAUCAGGUAGGGAUACCCGCUGAACUUAAGCAUAUCAAUAAGCGGAGGA